UGUUGUGAACAUGUUCUUUGAACUGCUCUGAGCAGCUGGCAAUGCUCGACUCAUCUGAUCUCAGGAGCUAAGGAGGAUCAGGCCUGGUCGCUACUUGGAUGGGAGACUGCCUGGGAAUACCAAGUGCUCAUAACCU
rnacentral:rRNA from 11 species